GACUUAGCAAAGAAAAGAUACACAUCUAUAGGAAAGAUUUUCAUCAGUUCAGUGCCAAGAACAAAUUUUUCCUGCUAAGCAUUCUUGCCACUUGCAGCAUGUGGACCACAGGUUCAGAGAUGUCAGAAAAUGAGCUAGAAGAGGUGGACUCCUUCCCAGCUCCAAGAAAAUAAUGUCUCCAACUACCUUGAGUUCUUUCCAUCAUUCAUUUGUUUUGCAUGUAAACAGAAUGUUACUCAUAAACCUCC
rnacentral:lncRNA from 1 species